CGCGCCUCGGCAUGUGCCUGCGUGUGCGUGCCUGUGUGCGCACGUGCCUCUGUGUGUGCGUGUGCCUGUGUGCAUGUUCGUGUAUGUGCAUGUGCGUGUGCGCGUGCCUCUGUGCACGUGUGCUUAUGUGCGUGUAUCCGUGUGCCUGUGUGCGCAUGCGUGUGUGCCUGUGUGCACGUGUGUGUGCCUCUGUGCGCGUGCGCCUGUCCACACGUGUGCGUGUGCCUGUGUGUGCAUGUGUGUGCCUGUUCCUGUGCCUGUAUGUGCGUGUGUGUGCGUGUGCCUCCAUGCGCGUGUGCGUGCACGUUCAGACACCAAGCGUGGGUGUUUGUCCGCGUGGCCUUGCUGCCCCCGUCGUGCGUGACCGGGGGAUACGCGGCGCUGCUGCACGCCCGGGGCGGGGAGAUCGGGUGCUGGGCGCGCCGCGUGCCCAGGAGCCUCCGUGUCCGGAGCCGCUUCCAGAGCCUCCGCCCACGAACGCUGUUCGGCGUGAGACGAUUGCGCUGCGAUGAUGUCCCCGUCCACAUCCUGCGGUGUGCGUGGCCGUGCGUGGCCUGUGGCUCCGCGCUGUCCAUCCCACGGCUCUGAUGUCCGUCCUCCGGCCAGGGCCAUGGUGAGUGCCACUUGGGAGCGUUGCUGUCGUCAAGGUUGGGAGCAAGGGGCCACAGUGGAGAUGUCAUCCUGGGAUGCUGGGAGGGGCAGGCCCUGUGUCCUCUUGGGCCACCG
rnacentral:lncRNA from 1 species